UACGUAGGGGUGCAAGCGUUUAAUCGGAAUUACUGGGCGUAAAGCGUGCGCAGGCGGUUUUGUAAGUCUGUCGUGAAAUCCCCGGGCUCAACCUGGGAAUUGCGAUGGAGACUGCAAGGCUAGAAUCUGGCAGAGGGGGGGUAGAAUUCCACGUGUAGCAGUGAAAUGCGUAGAGAUGUGGAGGAAUACCGAUGGCGAAGGCAGCCCCCUGGGAUAACACUGACGCUCAUGCACGAAAGCGUGGGGAGCAAACAGG
rnacentral:rRNA from 1 species